UACAGAGGGUGCAAGCGUUGUUCGGAAUUAUUGGGCGUAAAGGGUGCGUAGGCGGUGCGGUAAGUCUGUAGUGAAAUCUCUGGGCUCAACUCAGAGUCUGCUAUAGAAACUGCCGUGCUUGAGUGUGGGAGAGGUGAGUGGAAUUCCCGGUGUAGCGGUGAAAUGCGUAGAUAUCAGGAGGAACACCAGUGGCGAAGGCGAUCACCUGGGGUUGUUCUGACGCUGAUGAGCGAAAGCUAGGGGAGCAAACGGG
rnacentral:rRNA from 1 species